ensembl:lncRNA
CUUGCUGUUAUCUCAGAGGGGAUGUCUGAGAGGCUCAUUCUGGUCAUUAGCAAACAGAGUCUGUUUCUGGCCCAGUUGGAGAAACUUAAAAGCACACCAAUGAGCAGAGAGAACCCUCCAAGAAACGAUGAUAACUCCAGCCAAGCACAGUCCGGUCCAGAUACCUCUUUAGUUUUUCCAACAGUGCUGAGGAUGGCCAUAAACAGAAGAGAUUCUGAUCUGAAGAGUGCAAGUAAAACAAAACUACGGAGUCUACUGAUCCAGUCUCUUUUUGACCACCUCAGGCCAUGCUCAGACCUGCCCUCCUGACACACCAACACCUAAAAUGGUGCUCAAAGGCUGCAGGGAGGGUCAUCCCAUGCAAUACGACCACAUUGUCGUCAUGUUGGAUGGCCAGUCCAUUACUGAGGAGAGUGAGGACAUUUCAAUGGCACUGGGCCUCAUCCUUUGUAUAUAUUUUCUGUUUGGGAUCCAAUAUCCUAAAGGACUGAAAAAGACACUGACCUUCCUGGAGUGCGUUGUCUUAAAAAUGAAGGAUGCAGCCAGACUUCCUGUCACAAUUAAAAGAGUGUACAACUCAAUCUGUGCAUAGAGUCUCUCUCUCUCUCUCUCUCUCUCUCUCUCUCUCUCUCUCUCUCUCGGGCCUAUUCCAAUUUCUGUUUUUUUUUUCCUUUAGCCGGUGUUGUUAAUGUUAAAAAGCACUGAUUAUAUUUGCAACUAAAAGAAAUGAAUUAAACUAUUUUAAGUGUAAUGUAUUUUGUUUAUCAGUAACCUUUUAGUACAGGAUUUUGAAUCUUUCAAUCCAUGAUUUGGUAUAAAAGCGUCAUUUAGAAGCAUAUUGACUCAAACAUUGUAGUAUAUGGCAUGAUAAUGGCCUACUACCUAAAAAAAAAAGGUUCUAUAAAGCACCAUUUGACAAAUGUGCUAUAAAGCUUAAGUGCCAUUAAUGCCAAAAGAGGUUCCCCUAUAACGAGCUAAAGAACCACUGUUGCGCACCAUUUUUGUUGAAGAAAUUGUAAACAAUCAAGGUGCUUUAUGUCCAGCACCUUUAAAGAAAGUGGCUGUCAUAUGAUUACGAGCCAAAGAACCACCUUUAGUGCUAUUUAGCAACUUUUUUUUUAGAGUGCAGUUAAUAAACAUAUGCAUAUAACCA